GUCCUUAGUUACCAGCACGUUAUGGUGGGCACUCUAAGGAGACUGCCGGUGGACAAACCGGAGGAAGGUGGGGAGUGACGUCAAGUCAUCAUGGCCCUUACGGCCUGGGCUACACACGUGCUACAAUGGUCGGUACAAAGGGUUGCCAAGCCGCGAGGUGGAGCUAAUCCCAUAAAACCGAUCGUAGUCCGGAUCGCAGUCUGCAACUCGACUGCGUGAAGUCGGAAUCGCUAGUAAUCGUGAAUCAGAAUGUCACGGUGAAUACGUUCCCGGGCCUU
rnacentral:rRNA from 1 species